rnacentral:rRNA from 1 species
CCCUUAGAUGUUCUGGGCCGCACGCGUGCUACACUGAGUGGAUCAGCGGGUCAGGUUGCGCGAAAGCGUUUCCUAAUCUUUAAAUCCGCUCGUGAUGGGGAUUGACGGUUGCAAUUUUCUGUCAUGAACGAGGAAUACCUUGUAAGCGCGGGUCAUCAUCCCGCGCUGAAUACGUCCCUGCCCUUUGUACACACCGCCCGUCGCUCCUACCGAUUUUGAGUGGUCCGGUGAACCUUCUGGAUUGUGCGGCUUGCCGCGCGAGAAGUUAUGUAAACCUUAUCACUUAGAGGAAGGAGAAGUCGUAACA